CCAGCUGCAGAGGUUGGUUUCAGGUAGAGCUCUCACAGGUCUUGGGGCACCGAUGCUUCCCACUGCACUUCCAGCAGACUUCUGCAGAGGGAAAGGAUUUGUUAUCGUGGCUUAAAUCCCAUCCUGAGGAGCUGAAUGUGCAAUCCUUUAAGCACAGGGAUGUCUCUGGAGUGCUGCCUAUUCCCACAGCUCGCUGUGCAGCAGAAGGAAUGUCUAGAGGGACAAGAGAAAUGAUUUGGGGAAUAAGUGAUGAAACCAAGGGGCUCUGCCCCAUCCCUCUCCACUCGGCAUUUUGGGCACCAAUUCUGUGGAAGUGGAGCCUCUGCAGGUGCACCCGGUGCCCUCUGGGUGUGCAAAUGGAUGCACAUCCCGCAGGUCAGAGGAGAAAAAUGCUCUUUGGCUCAGGUGAGUGAAGCUCUAUCUAGAAAAGCUGAUAGCUCUGAA